AUGUUCUUACUCAUUGUUCUUCUUUUCGCUUUCACCAUCUUUGCCUUUGUUGUUACUAAUAAAGGGGCGGGUGAAGCGGUCUCCAAUCGCGGGUAUAAGGAGUAUAAGCUUGGGGAUUAUUCGAAUUGGUUGCAGAAUAAGGUUACGGAUGGGGGUAAUUGGAAAAGGAUUAGAAGCUGUUUGGUGUCCGGGAAGGUUUGUGAGGAUUUUCAAGCCAAGUUUGGGAAAGAUAGUGUUGAACAAUUUCAUGCUCAGAAGUUGUUUGCUCUUCAGGUUAGGGGUUUUAUCUUUUUUUUAUUGAAUUGA